rnacentral:misc_RNA from 1 species
AAUGUCAAAAUUUCUUUUAUUUAAUCUAUAUUUUCACGUUAGACAGGCACAGCGCAAUCUCGAAGGCUUCAACAAGUUGACACAAGUUUAGGCGUGUGGGUAUUUAAUUUAAUUUCACGCUUGUACUGUCAGCGAAUGAAGCUCCGCACCUAUUUAUUUCACUCAGCCAAUAGGAAUCCAAUUUCUGACGAUGACUGCUCUGUAGUUAAAAUGUAUUCUGAUGUUGCGCAGUUUUACGCCCAGUGUGGAUACCCCAUGGCUACAUUGCUACAUACAGUUGCGCAUUUUGACAAAUGUCAGUUGCACGGGUACAUCCCGCGCCGCUUCGCCCUUGCCAAAAGGGCUUUUGAGCACCCCGAGUUCUUCAUCGCACGUACGGCUGCUUUGAUUGUCUCAAAAUUUCCCAUUCACAUUCCCGUAGCUGUCCCAGUGUGGUCUUCCAAACAUCGUCCCAGGACAGCGCCCACCGGGCAUCCGAUAUCACGCUCUAAUACCGUGACACAAAUCUUUCGGGGGAAAGCGGGGGACCUUCGGGCCUCGCACUAUUAGAGCGGCCGAUAUCGGAUUAGCGUUGGCGGCACCGGCUCACCAAGGCGACGAUCCGUAUUGGUUUGAGGACGACCAGCCACACUGGGACUGGAGACGGCUCCAGACUCCUACGGGAGGCAGCAGGGGAAUUUUGACAAUGGGGGAGUCCGAUCUCAGCCAUCCUUAUGUGUGUGCGAUGAAGGCCUUUGGGUUGUAAAGCACUUUUGGCAGGAAAGAAACGGCACGGGAUAAUACCCGUGCAACUGACGGUACCUGCAGAAUAAGCACCUGCUAACUACGCCAGCAGCCGCGGUAAUGCCGUAGGUGCAAGCGUUGUUGACCGGAAUUACUGGGCGUAAAGCGUGCAGGCGGUUCGGAAAGAAAGAUGUGAAAUCCCAGAGCCUUAACUGGAACUGCAUUUUUAACUACCGAGCUAGAGGUGUCAGAGGGAGGUGGAAUUCCGCGUAGCAGUGAAAUGCGUGGAUAUGCGGAGGAACACCGAUAAGAAGGCAGCCUCCUGGGAUAACACUGACGCUCAUGCACGAAAGCGUGGGAGCAAACAGGAUUAGAUACCCUGGUAGUCCACGCCCUAAACGAUGUCAACUAGUUGUUGGGGCCUGGCCUGGUAGCGCAGCUAACGCGUGAAGUUGACCGCCUGGGGAGUACGGUCGCAAGAUUAAAACUCAAAGGAAUUGACGGGGACCCGCACAAGCGGUGGAUGAUGUGGAUUAAUUCGAUGCAACGCGAAAAACCUUACCUACCCUUGACAUGUCUGGAAUCCCGAAGAGAUUUGGGGAGUGCUCGCAAGAGAACCGAACACAGGUGCUGGCAUGGUUGUCAGCUUUCGUGUCGUGAGAUGUUGGGUUAAGUCCCGCAACGAGCGCAACCCUUGUCAUUAGUUACUACGAAAGGGCACUCAAUGAAAUCGCCGGUGACAAACCGAGGAAGGUGGGGAUGACGUCAAGUCCUCAUGGCCCUUAUGGGUAGGGCUUUCACACGUCAUACAAUGGUCGGGACAGAGGGUCGCCAACCCGCGAGGGAGCCAACCCAGAAACCCGAUCGUAGUCCGGAUCGCAGUCUGCAACUGACUGCGAAGCUCGUGGAAUCGCUAGUAAUCGCGGAUCAGCAUGUCGCAGGAAUACGCGUUCCUGGGUCUUGUACACACCGCCCGUCACACCAUGGGAGGGUUUUACCAGAAGUAAAGUUAGCCUAACCGUAAGAGCGAUUACCACAGUAGGAUUCAUGACUGGGGUGAAGUCGUAACAAGGUAG